AUUGAACGCUGGCGGCAGGCCUAACACAUGCAAGUCGAGCGGAUGAAGGGAGCUUGCUCCUGGAUUCAGCGGCGGACGGGUGAGUAAUGCCUAGGAAUCUGCCUGGUAGUGGGGGAUAACGUCCGGAAACGGGCGCUAAUACCGCAUACGUCCUGAGGGAGAAAGUGGGGGAUCUUCGGACCUCACGCUAUCAGAUGAGCCUAGGUCGGAUUAGCUAGUUGGUGGGGUAAAGGCCUACCAAGGCGACGAUCCGUAACUGGUCUGAGAGGAUGAUCAGUCACACUGGAACUGAGACACGGUCCAGACUCCUACGGGAGGCAGCAGUGGGGAAUAUUGGACAAUGGGCGAAAGCCUGAUCCAGCCAUGCCGCGCGUGUGAAGAAGGUCUUCGGAUUGUAAAGCACCUUAAGUUGGGAGGAAGGGCAGUAAGUUAAUACCUUGCUGUUUUGACGUUACCAACAGAAUAAGCACCGGCUAACUUCGUG
rnacentral:rRNA from 1 species